CAGCACCUCAAGUGGUCAGGAUGAUUAUUGGGCCUAAAGCAUCCGUAGCCGGCGCUGUAAGUUUUCGGUUAAAUCUGUACGCUCAACGUACAGGCUGCCGGGAAUACUGCAAAGCUAGGGAGUGGGAGAGGUAGACGGUACUCGGUAGGAAGGGGUAAAAUCCUUUGAUCUAUUGAUGACCACCUGUGGCGAAGGCGGUCUACCAGAACACGUCCGACGGUGAGGGAUGAAAGCUGGGGGAGCGAACCGGAUUAGAUACCCGAGUAGUCC
rnacentral:rRNA from 1 species